rnacentral:lncRNA from 8 species
ACAACAUGGAUUUCGAUUUGGCUUCAGCUGUAGGUAAAGAUGAUCAGGUGAAAAAGGAUGAUGCCUCUGGCCAGGAACAGAACGCCCUCUUUGGAUGGGGGAAGAAGAAGGACAAAGAUGGGGAUAAGGACAAGAGUGCAUCCAAGGACAAAGUCAAAUCAAAGGACCGCAAGGACAGUGACAAAUCGAAGGACCAUAAGGAGGACAAAGACAAGUCUAAGGAACAUAAGGACAAGAAACAUUGUGACAAGAAGGACAAAGGUCAUAAGAAGAAGAAAGACAAGAAGCCCAAAGAGCAUCAGGACAAAGAUGAUGGGUCUUCUUCUUCUUCCUCCUCGUCCAGCAGCGAUGAGGAUGAAGGCAAGAAUAAGCAUCACUGAUUCUGGUGCUACAUCUUUCCUCCCUAGUGAAAAGUCUAAAGUCCACCAGAAGGGGGAGGUGUUUUUCAUUUUAAUAUUUGUUUAAUAGAUUGAAUACAAUUGAUUGGCAAACAUUAUGUUCAAGUUUUUUUGAUAAAUUGUCCAGUUCAAAAGAUUGAAUUGCAUUCUUUUUGUUUAUUUUAGCACAAUUUAUGGGAAACUCAAUAUUCUUAGUUUGAAAUAUAAAGCAUAAGGGAGGACAACUACAAAUACCUAGGUGUCUGGUUAGACUGUGAACUCUCCUUCCAGACUCACAUUAAGCAUCUCCAAUCCAGAAUUAAAUCUAGAAAUGGCUUCCUUUUUCGCAACAAAGCAUCCUUCACUCAUGCUGCCAAACAUACCCUCGUAAAACUGACUAUCCUACCGAUCCUUGACUUCGGCGAUGUCAUUUACAAAAUAGCCUCCAACACUCUACUCAGCAAAUUGGAUGCAGUCUAUCACAGUGCCAUCCAUUUUGUCACCAAAGCCCCAUAUACUACCCAUCACUGCAACCUGUAUGCUCUCGUUGGCUGGCCCUCUCUUCAUAUUCGUCGCCAAAACCACUGGCUCCACGUCAUCUAUAAGUCUUUGCUAGGUAAAGCCCCGCCUUAUCUCAGCUCACUGGUCACCAUAGCAGCACCCACCCGUAGCACGCGCUCCACCAGGUAUAUUUCACUGGUCACCCCCAAAGCCAAUUCAUCCAUUGGAUGUCUUUCCUUCCAGUUCUCUGCUGCCAAUGACUGGAACGAACUGCAAAAAUCACUGAAGCUGGAGACUCAUAUCUCCCUCACUAGUUUUAAGCACCAGCUGUCAGAGCAGCUCACAGAUCACUGCACCUGUACAUAGCCCAUCUGUAAAUAGCCCAUCCAACUACCUCAUCCCCCAUACUGUUAUUUAUUUUGCACCCCCAGUAUCUCUAUUUGCACACUCAUCUUCUGUACAUCUAUCACUCCAGUGUUUAAUUGCUAUAUUGUAAUUAUUUCACCACUAUGGCCUAUUUAUUGCCUUAUCCCCCUUAUCCUACCUCAUUUGCACACACUGUAUAUAGACUUUUUCUAUUGUAUUAUUGACUGCAUGUUUGUUUAUUCCAUGUGUAACUCUGUGUUUGUGUCGCACUGCUUUGAUUUAUCUUGGCCAGGUCGCAGUUGUAAAUGAGAACAUGUUCUCAACUAGCCUACCUGGUUAAAUAAAGGUGAGAAGAAAAAAAAAAAAUAUAUAUAUAUAUAUAUAUAUAUAUAUAUAUACCCAAAGGUUUCCUCAACAGGGGAUAGUGUUAAAAGUGGGACAUAGGUACAGUGCAUGUUCAGUACAAACAUAUUGUACUCUGACUAUGCAGUGUGAAGAUAGGAGUCCAUUCCUUGUCUAACCUGAAUUGACCUAGUGAGCAGGUGCACUGGCCUGGAGUAAAUUCAUUCUACAAAACUAGGAAAAGCAAAGCUGCACAAGAUGCAUGACACAGCAAAAGCCAGGCAGUGUUUCCUUAACAUGGCAUCAAUAUUCAAGUGGACGUGAACUCUAACAGGGGUUGUCAGGAAAGAAGAAUUAAAACAUUUAACGUACAUAUCUUGCUCACAUUCUUAAUCUUUUAUAUCGGACGGAAAAAGAACAAUGGAGCGAUUGCAAAAUGUAUCAAUAAUAAAUCAGUGUCUUUGGAUGCUGCCAUUUCUGUAUGGUAACUCCUCUAUCACACUUGGCUGUAUCCCUGUUGGGAUGCAUAGGAGUGGAGAUGAACAGAUGGGCUGUAUAUCUUCCUAGUGAACUUGUCAGCAGAACUGUAGGGUCACUUUUCAUUUAUGCUUUCAUGGUUUAUGAAAUGAACAUGACAGUAGCUUCUAGUAAAAACAAACAAUGGUAUGCUCAUAUGUACGGUGUCGGCUACUGUAUACACUGUCACACUUGUAUUUAAGAAUAACUUGAGUGUUACUGCUUUCUCAAAUCAGAAGGUAGUGACCAGGGGUGCUUUAAGAUCCAGUAUUCAUAAUAUCUGAUAACAUACGCCAGGGUUCUAUAAAAUGGCGGCAGUAUGUCAGAAAUCAAACAGUCUGAAUGGCCUCCGGUAUAAAUAGCUACUCCUUACGUUGCUCAAGUCAGGAGUGACAGACAUAUGCUUUGGAAACCCCUGCCAACAACCCCAGGCAGUACGGAAGCGCUGGCCCUUGUCACGCCUUCUCAUCUCCUCUCAUACAUUUUUAAUGACUCAACAGUCAGAAAAGUUGAAUAAGGGAAAAAAAUUUCAUCAAAUGUUUGUCUACAAAACCUUGACAGAUUUUUAAAAAAAAAGCUGUUUUUUAUAUCUAGAUUUGGCCCAGAAGUGCUCAGGCUUUAUGCCUGCAGUGUUUUUAGUGAAACACAGGGAGUAUUUUGUGCUGAGCUGUGUGUGGUAAGAUCACGUUUUGUUCAAGAGAACACAUUGACAGUUGCCUCCCUUUUGAAAGCUGUUGUUGUGUGUUGCUGGCUUUAUAAUAUGGGCGGUGGUGA